ACGAUUGAAGCCAGUCGUACCUUCGGGUAAUCAGCCUUUCGGGUGCGAUUCUGUGGAGUUUGAGGAGCUUAACACCUUCAUGCUUUGCAUAUUCGUGCUCUUGGGUGUACUUGCCCGUGUGGUUGGUUAACAUCAAUUUCGGGCACCAUAAAAUGACUGGAGGAAUGUAGCUUCGAUCUUGUAUUGAAGUGUUAUAGCCUUUGGUAGAUGUGGUGAUCGAGAUUGAGGAUUGCAACGGAUACCUUUCGGGGCUACCUGUCUGAUCUCUGAUCGUUGCUUUGGUGCGGAAAGGCGUGCUUAUAGUUAUCAAAGUCGAUGGUCAAUAGGUUAGAAUGGGUUAAAUUCGUUAAGGAUGUGGACGUA
rnacentral:rRNA from 1 species